rnacentral:lncRNA from 1 species
CUACACUUCAAGCGAAACAUGCUCACUUCUCUCAACCAUCAAACGAAACCUUAACUCACUCCUAAAACCAGAAAAUCCUCAUCUGUGAAAACCCAUGGAUCGAACGAUAAUCCUAGAGAUAAAGUCGACGUUGUGGAUGAUCGAUCUUCUUCCUUCAAAUAUGCUUAAUCUAGCCAAAGUACUGGUGAAUUUAACUUCGAACU